GACGAACGCUGGCGGCGUGCUUAACACAUGCAAGUCGAACGGAAAGGCCCUGCUUUUGUGGGGUGCUCGAGUGGCGAACGGGUGAGUAACACGUGAGUAACCUGCCCUUGACUUUGGGAUAACUUCAGGAAACUGGGGCUAAUACCGGAUAGGAGCUCCUGCUGCAUGGUGGAGGUUGGAAAGUUUCGGCGGUUGGGGAUGGACUCGCGGCUUAUCAGCUUGUUGGUGGGGUAGUGGCUUACCAAGGCUUUGACGGGUAGCCGGCCUGAGAGGGUGACCGGCCACAUUGGGACUGAGAUACGGCCCAGACUCCUACGGGAGGCAGCAGUGGGGAAUAUUGCACAAUGGGCGGAAGCCUGAUGCAGCAACGCCGCGUGCGGGAUGACGGCCUUCGGGUUGUAAACCGCUUUCGCCUGUGACGAAGCGUGAGUGACGGUAAUGGGGAAAGAAGCACCGGCUAACUACGU
rnacentral:rRNA from 1 species